rnacentral:rRNA from 1 species
CUACGGGGGGCUCCAGUGGGGAAUCUUGGACAAUGGGCGCAAGCCUGAUCCAGCCAUGCCGCGUGAGUGAUGAAGGCCUUAGGGUCGUAAAGCUCUUUCGCCAGGGAUGAUAAUGACAGUACCUGGCAAAGAAACCCCGGCUAACUCCGUGCCAGCAGCCGCGGUAAUACGGAGGGGGUUAGCGUUGUUCGGAAUUACUGGGCGUAAAGCGCGCGUAGGCGGACCAGAAAGUUGGGGGUGAAAUCCCGGGGCUCAACCCCGGAACGGCCUUCAAAACUCCUGGUCUUGAGUUCGAGAGAGGUGAGUGGAAUUCCGAGUGUAGAGGUGAAAUUCGUAGAUAUUCGGAGGAACACCAGUGGCGAAGGCGACUCACUGGCUCGAUACUGACGCUGAGGUGCGAAAGUGUGGGGAGCAAACAGGAUUAGAUACCCCCGUAGUC